GUACGAAGGGGGCUAGCAGUUGCUCGGAAUCACUGGGCUAAGCGGCACGUAGGGCGGCUUUCUAAGUCAGGGGUGAAAUCCUGGAGCUCAACUCCAGAACUGCCUUUGAUACUGGAGAGCUAGAGUCCGGAAGAGGUGAGUGGAACUGCGAGUGUAGAGGUGAAAUUCGUAGAUAUUCGCAAGAACACCAGUGGCGAAGGCGGCUCACUGGUCCGGUACUGACGCUGAGGUGCGAAAGCGUGGGGAGCAAACAGG
rnacentral:rRNA from 1 species